CUCGAACACAUGGCCUCAAAUGAUCCUCCUGCCUGGGCUUCCCAAAGCACUGGGAUUACAGAUGUGAGCCCCCUCGCCCAGUGUGACCUUUUUUUUCCUCCUAAUUGCCCACCCAUGAAAUUUUCAUGCCAUAGAUACAUUAUAUAUCUAUGCUCAUAUGAAAAAGAAUACAAUUUUUUGCCUCAUCCCCAAAAUGAAUUUUCAUUCCUUGUGGGGGCAAUAUCACCCCCAUUGUGUAUGUACAAGGAGACCUGGCUGGGUGGGUAACUGGCCUAGGCGUAAUUAGACUUUGAUGCAGGUCAUUCAUUUCCUUAUUUAUUUAAGAACCUUGAGUCUUUUUGAUAUUUUUCUGACAUAGACCACUAUUAAAGGGUUCUUGCCUUACAGGGUAGGCCAAUUUGUUCAUUUAAAGCAUGGGCUUUGGAGUCAUACCCACUUGGUUCAAGUCCUCUUGGUUUCUUCAUUUUUUUCCUGUGCCACCACCAGCAAAACUUUAGUUUAUUCACCUGUAAAAUAGGGCUAAUAAUAGUAUCUACUUCAAAAGGUUGCUGAGGAGGAUGGAAUGAGAAAGCAAAUAAAGCACCGCACCCCAGAAAGAAACUCUAAGAAGGAGCUGAUGUGGAGGAGCAGCUGAGACAGUUCAAGAUGACGACCACAGUAGCCACAGACUAUGACAACAUUGAGAUCCAGCAGCAGUACAGUGAUGUCAACAACCGCUGGGAUGUCGACGACUGGGACAAUGAGAACAGCUCUGCGCGGCUUUUUGAGCGGUCCCGCAUCAAGGCUCUGGCAGGUGAGUCCUUCACGCCUGUCACAGAGGCCCAGGAUGCCUAAAAUCAGGAUGCCCCUUAAAAUCAUCCACCCUGUUCCCAUGACGCUGUCAUGUUCGAAGGUUGUCUCACUUCUAUUUAAAUGUGUCCUUGAGAGCCAGCUGACCAUUUUAUAAGGUAGUCAGUUCCAUAUUUGGAGAGCUGUCAACUCUAAUGGCCAAAAUUAUUCAGAGCACAGAGUGUUAUUUAUAGCAAUUCAAGAACAGCUGCCCUAAGUUUGUAAGAAUUCUUUUAUUUUUGGCAAAUCUUACAUUCCAAAAUAUCAAAGCAUACUAUUCCUUAUACUCAAAAAUAUACAAAUUAACCUGUGUACUUAGUGCCUGUGAUACAUUAACUGGCCUGACCUGUACCAAGAUGGGUUAGUAUCACACGCAAGGAUUUUACAUCUGAAAAGCAAAAGCUGAAUCUGGUAAAGGCACAUUUAAUACAGUAACGAGUAAGUUUGCCAUUGGUCCAUUAGUUCGUGGAACAUGUCCUUACUUUGUGAUUUCUCAUUCCCUUGUUGCUGGUGAACACCUAGAGCACACUUUCUCCAUGGCCCCAGUGAGGGUGAGGAGUGUUUUACCCUAAAAUUGCCCUGAAAAUCAGGAAAGCGUUCUGUGGCUCUGAAAACUCAGCUGUACUGAAUAUAUGUAAACCAAGUAUCAAAACCGAGUUUAUUCAAGGUCCUGCAUCUGUACUUUGAGAUUUCAAAUGAAAUUUCAGAUGAAGUUUAUUCCAAAUGAUUUUUUUCUAAUGUCUUUAAUUGUGAUAAGUAAAUCAAAGUCAUGACUUGAGAAGUUAAGUUUACUGUUAAUUCUAACUACAUAACUCACAUUUUUGUUGCCUUUAUAGUGGAAUCUGAUUAUGAAGCAUGCAUCAUUUAGAGUCAUCUUGAUUGUGGACAAAGGAAACCUAACCCAGAGUGGUUUAAGUGACAAAGAGGAUUUAUUGGUCACACAGUAGGCAAAUUCAGUCUUUAAGCAAGAGUUACUCCUGGACUUAAAUGGUGUGACCAGGAUCUAGUUUCUUUCUCUCUACUCUGGCUUUAUUUUCUAGUGCAGGCUCUGUUCACAAGCAGGCUCCAUCCUGUAGUCCCAAGAUGGCUGCCCCAGGUCCCAGGCCCCCUUGGACUAUGGACAUCCAGCAGAAAAGAGGAUGCUUUUCUGCUUACCGUGGCCCGGAUAUAUCAGUCUCACUGGCGUGAUUGAUCAUGACUUGGAUCAUGUGCUUCUCCCGCUGGUGUUGGAGAAUCUCAUGUGCUGUUAACUUCUAAACAGGAUGCACCCCUUAGAGUGAAAGUUUGGUCAGUCUCAACCAAACAAGUUGGCUAGAAAAAUUGGAAUAUAACAGAAAAGAGGAAGAGGAGAAUGGAUGUUGGGGGUACAGCUAACAAUGUACUGCAGAAAAACUAUUCAGCUGCUUUAGGAUAAUUUGUCUCUUGAGUGGUGUUGAUUUAAAGAUCUUUCUUGAGCUGGCCUGAAUGAAUGAUUAAUCAGUCACUCUAGAAUUGGGGCUUCAUUAUCAUUCAUUAACAUGGAACUCUAUGGAAAUCAUGACCCUGGCUUAUGCUAGUAAAGUGAUUUGUAUUUUAAUCUCUCACCUCUUUUUCUUGUAUUUUCAUUUGAGUCUUUAGGCCAGUAUGCUAGUGAUGGCCAGUUACCUUUGAUCUUGAGUCUUACUUUCUGAUUCCAGGCUAUGUAUUAUCUCCUUUCUAAAGGACCAUUUUGUUUGCAAACUACAGAACAGUUCCUUGUUCUUUGCAUGUGGUCUUUCCUACAGUUUGAGAGGAGAGCCUCCAGCUGUCCUUAGUAUCCAUCAUUUGUCUUAACCUUUCUAGGAUGUUUACCUAGGUCCCUCAGUAACUGUAGUCAUAAUAAUAGCAAGCACUCAAUAUAGUACUUACACUGUGUGCCAGGCACUGUGGGAAACGCCGGCAUAUAUUAACAGUUAAUCCCAUAACAAUCAUAUGAGAGAGAUUAUUACUGUCUACAUUGUAUAGAUGACAAAACAGGUUCCAGAGAGAUUAAGAAGCUUGCCCAAGGGCGUACUGCUGCUAAGUGGCUGAAGGCAUACUAACUCUGCAGUGUAUGCUCUUUUUCAAUAUUCAGUAAAGUAAAAAAAAAAAA
rnacentral:sRNA from 1 species